rnacentral:rRNA from 1 species
UAUUGGACAAUGGGCGAAAGCCUGAUCCAGCAAUGCCGCGUGAGUGAUGAAGGCCUUAGGGUUGUAAAGCUCUUUUACCCGGGAUGAUAAUGACAGUACCGGGAGAAUAAGCUCCGGCUAACUCCGUGCCAGCAGCCGCGGUAAUACGGAGGGAGCUAGCGUUGUUCGGAAUUACUGGGCGUAAAGCGCACGUAGGCGGCUUUGUAAGUUAGAGGUGAAAGCCUGGAGCUCAACUCAAGAAUUGCCUUUGAUACUGCAUCGCUUGAAUCCAGGAGGGGUGAGUGGAAUUCCGAGUGUAGAGGUGAAAUUCGUAGAUAUUCGGAAGAACACCAGUGGCGAAGGCGGCUCACUGGACUGGUAUUGACGCUGAGGUGCGAAA